CCUGGAUGUUUUGACUCUGAAGC
rnacentral:piRNA from 1 species